AACAUCGUUGAGGUGGUCUAGAAUGUUAGCUGGCGGCGUGCCUAAUACAUGCAGUCGAGCGAAUGGAUUAAGAGCUUGCUCUUAUGAAGUUAGCGGCGGACGGGUGAGUAACACGUGGGUAACCUGCCCAUAAGACUGGGAUAACUCCGGGAAACCGGGGCUAAUACCGGAUAACAUUUUGAACCGCAUGGUUCAAAAUUGAAAGGCGGCUUCGGCUGUCACUUAUGGAUGGACCCGCGUCGCAUUAGCUAGUUGGUGAGGUAACGGCUCACCAAGGCAACGAUGCGUAGCCGACCUGAGAGGGUGAUCGGCCACACUGGGACUGAGACACGGCCCAGACUCCUACGGGAGGCAGCAGUAGGGAAUCUUCCGCAAUGGACGAAAGUCUGACGGAGCAACGCCGCGUGAGUGAUGAAGGCUUUCGGGUCGUAAAACUCUGUUGUUAGGGAAGAACAAGUGCUAGUUGAAUAAGCUGGCACCUUGACGGUACCUAACCAGAAAGCCACGGCUAACUACGUGCCAGCAGCCGCGGUAAUACGCAGGUGGCAAGCGUUAUCCGGAAUUAUUGGGCGUAAAGCGCGCGCAGGUGGUUUCUUAAGUCUGAUGUGAAAGCCCACGGCUCAACCGUGGAGGGUCAUUGGAAACUGGGAGACUUGAGUGCAGAAGAGGAAAGUGGAAUUCCAUGUGUAGCGGUGAAAUGCGUAGAGAUAUGGAGGAACACCAGUGGCGAAGGCGACUUUCUGGUCUGUAACUGACACUGAGGCGCGAAAGCGUGGGGAGCAAACAG
rnacentral:rRNA from 1 species